rnacentral:rRNA from 1 species
UGGGGAAUAUUGCACAAUGGGCGCAAGCCUGAUGCAGCCAUGCCGCGUGUAUGAAGAAGGCCUUCGGGUUGUAAAGUACUUUCAGCGGGGAGGAAGGGAGUAAAGUUAAUACCUUUGCUCAUUGACGUUACCCGCAGAAGAAGCACCGGCUAACUCCGUGCCAGCAGCCGCGGUAAUACGGAGGGUGCAAGCGUUAAUCGGAAUUACUGGGCGUAAAGCGCACGCAGGCGGUUUGUUAAGUCAGAUGUGAAAUCCUCGGGCUCAACCUGGGAAAUGCAUCUGGUACUGGGGAGGUUGAGUCUCGUAGAGGGGGGUAGGAAUCCAAGUGGAGCGGGGGAAAGCGUAGAGGUCUGGAGGAAUACCGGUGGCGGAGGCGGCCCCCUUGGCGGAGACUGGCGGUCCAGUGGGGAAAGGUGGGGAGCAAACAGG